rnacentral:rRNA from 1 species
GAUGAACGCUGGCGGCGUGCCUAAUACAUGCAAGUCGAGCGAACAGAUGAGGAGCUUGCUCCUCUGACGUUAGCGGCGGACGGGUGAGUAACACGUGGAUAACCUACCUAUAAGACUGGGAUAAUUUCGGGAAACCGGAGCUAAUACCGGAUAAUAUAUUGAACCGCAUGGUUCAAUAGUGAAAGACGGUUUUGCUGUCACUUAUAGAUGGAUCCGCGCCGCAUUAGCUAGUUGGUAAGGUAACGGCUUACCAAGGCAACGAUGCGUAGCCGACCUGAGAGGGUGAUCGGCCACACUGGAACUGAGACACGGUCCAGACUCCUACGGGAGGCAGCAGUAGGGAAUCUUCCGCAAUGGGCGAAAGCCUGACGGAGCAACGCCGCGUGAGUGAUGAAGGUCUUCGGAUCGUAAAACUCUGUUAUUAGGGAAGAACAAAUGUGUAAGUAACUAUGCACGUCUUGACGGUACCUAAUCAGAAAGCCACGGCUAACUACGUG